rnacentral:rRNA from 1 species
AGUGAACGCUGGCGGUAGGCCAAACACAUGCAAGCCGAACGGCAGCACAGGAGAGCUUGCUCUCUGGGUGGCGAGUGGCGGACGGGUGAGGAAUACAUCGGAAUCUACUCUGUCGUGGGGGAUAACGUAGGGAAACUUACGCUAAUACCGCAUACGACCUACGGGUGAAAGCAGGGGAUCUUCGGACCUUGCGCGAUUGAAUGAGCCGAUGUCGGAUUAGCUAGUUGGCGGGGUAAAGGCCCACCAAGGCGACGAUCCGCAGCUGGUCUGAGAGGAUGAUCAGCCACACUGGAACUGAGACACGGUCCAGACUCCUACGGGAGGCAGCAGUGGGGAAUAUUGGACAAUGGGCGCACGCCUGAUCCAGCCAUACCGCGUGGGUGAAGAAGGCCUUCGGGUUGUAGAGCCCUUUUGUUGGGAAAGAAAUCCAGCUGGUUAAUACCCGGUUGGGAUGACGGUACCCAAAGAAUAAGCACCGGCUAACUUCGUGCCAGCCGCCGCGGUAA